UGGGGAAUUUUGGACAAUGGGGGAAACCCUGAUCCAGCCAUCCCGCGUGUGCGAUGAAGGCCUUCGGGUUGUAAAGCACUUUUGGCAGGAAAGAAACGUCGCGGGUUAAUACCCCGCGAAACUGACGGUACCUGCAGAAUAAGCACCGGCUAACUACGUGCCAGCAGCCGCGGUAAUACGUAGGGUGCAAGCGUUAAUCGGAAUUACUGGGCGUAAAGCGUGCGCAGGCGGUUCGGAAAGAAAGAUGUGAAAUCCCAGAGCUUAACUUUGGAACUGCAUUUUUAACUACCGGGCUAGAGUGUGUCAGAGGGAGGUGGAAUUCCGCGUGUAGCAGUGAAAUGCGUAGAUAUGCGGAGGAACACCGAUGGCGAAGGCAGCCUCCUGGGAUAACACUGACGCUCAUGCACGAAAGCGUGGGGAGCAAACAGGAUUAGAUACCCUGGUAGUCCACGCCCUAAACGAUGUCAACUAGCUGUUGGGGCCUUCGGGCCUUGGUAGCGCAGCUAACGCGUGAAGUUGACCGCCUGGGGAGUACGGUCGCAAGAUUAAAACUCAAAUGAAUGACGGGG
rnacentral:rRNA from 1 species